AGGGGGGGGCAAGCAAGAGUUCAAAGCCUUGAGUUCAAUCCCCAGCACCAGCACUCCACGCACAAAAUAGCCCAUCUGCUGCUGAGGUACAUUCACAGUGACUGCAGUACCCAGAAUGCCAGUAUGUUUAAGGUGCAAAUACUUUUGAAACCAGUAUUGGGAAGGCCUCAGACCUGGGACUGCGUCUCUUCGUGGUUUCACCGGGCAACGCCUCAUGGCCCCUCUUUGUGCACAUCUUCUGCAUUCACCUUGGGAUGACCUUCACUGCAGUGGCUCGGACUCUGGACUUGUCCCCCAUGGGGUCUCGCCAGGCCUGUUAGUCUGUGGUCUCUCAUCCACUGCCCUGCCGGAGGGGACACGCACGUGCCGGAGCUGUCUGCUCCCCGCCACAGGGAAGGAAGGCCUGACCAGCAAGCCUCAGCUCCUGGUGACUUGAUGGGUCCUGAGCAGGAGGAAGGAUGGCCAUGUUCUGUGUUCCCGGGUUUCUCAGCCAUGGGCCCCGCUCGCCUCCUGUUGAAACUAUUCAGGGAAAACAGCUGCGUCGCUAUGUAGAACAUAGAACAUGUACAGACCUUUGUUCUUAGUUACCAAAAAAAAUGCAGUAGAACGACUAUUUAGCAUUUACAUUGUAUUAACUAUUCUAAGUCAUCUAGGGAUGAGAAGAUUAUAUGCAAAUACUAUGCCA